rnacentral:tRNA from 1 species
AGCGCGCGUGGCCUAAUGGAUAAGGCAUCGGUCUCCUAAACCGGGGAUUGCGGGUUCGAGUCCCGCCGUGGUCA